UUUGAAAUGACUUCGCAUACUACACACAGUUAUGUUGAGAAGAUAGCCAGGGACCCUGUUGCUGGGUGGAGCUGUCUUGUUACUGUACGUGACCCCCAUGUCUGAAAAUAAGUGGAACUAGUCGGUUUCUGAAGCAAAGAAGAUGGCCAGGACUCCUUGCUGAUAGAUGGGAGCCAGAUAGAGUUGGUAGAGGUGAG